rnacentral:lncRNA from 1 species
AAAAAAGAGAAGGUGGCAGACCGCAUGAGGAUUCUUUUUUUUUUUUUUUCAGGAAGAUUAGCCCUGAGCUAACAUCUGCUGCCAAUCCUCCUCUUUUUGCUGAGGAAAACUGGCCCUGAGCUAAUUUCCGUGCCCAUCUUCCUCUACUUUAUAUGUGGGAUGCCUACCACAGCAUGGCCUGUCGAGUGGUGCCAUGUCUGCACCCGGGAUCCGAGCCGGCAAAACCCGGGCCACCAAAGUGUAAUGUGCACAAUUGACCACUGCGCCACCAGGCCAGCCCCUAAUUCUUAAAGCUCCUUCUUAAAAGGAGCACAUAUCACUUUCACUCACAUUCCAUUGGCUUAAAUAAGUCACAUGUUCAGGUCUGAAAUGUAUGGUGCAAAAAGUCUGAUUAUCCCUCAGUGAGGGGCCUGGAGUGGCAGACAGACUGAUAGUCCCCGAUUAAACCCACAUCUUGAUAUUCACCCCGUGUGUAAUUCCCUUGAGUGUGGACAGGCCCCGUGACUUGCCUUUAACCUAUAGACUAUGGCACAGAUGACAGGGUGUCACUUCUGUUAUUAUGUAACGGAAGAUGAAAGUCUCUUAAUAGUGGAUGUUCUUCCUUGCUGAUUUUGAUGAAGCAUUCUGCUCAUGUUGACAGCUCUGUUAUGGAGAGAGUGUCACAUGACAAGGAACACGAGGGUGGCUCCAGCUGACGCCGGCGAGGAGAAAAGCCCAUCGGAAAAUAAAUUCUGUCAAUACCCUGAGUGAACUUGGAAGCACAUCCUCUUCCAGCUGAACAUUCAGAUGAGACCCCAGCCCUGGCUGACAACUUCAUUAUAGCCUGAUCCAGCCACCAUGGAGAAGAGGUAUGAUUAUCCUGAAACGACAAUACUUUUAAGGAAGCCUAAGCGAGUCACCUGGAGAGGCUACAGGGAAGAGAACUGAAGUGUCCAAGUGACAGCCCCGCAUGAGAUCCCAGCCUUCAGCAGAGACCAACGGCCACCACGUUGGACAUUCCAAAUCGGUUGAACCUCCAGUGAGCCAUCUUGGACAUUCCAAACUGGUUGAGUCUUCAGAUAACGGCAGCCACAGCUCACACCACAUGGAGAAGAACUGACACUGAGGAUGAAGGAGUUAAAAUUUCCCUGGAUUAGGGUGAAACUGUGCCUUUGACCCACAAGGUUAACGUGGGAAACAAAAUAACCAAAGCAUCUGAGCUUGCCUUGCACAACAGCAGGAGGACCGCCGAUAAGAGAGGAAUUUGCUGACAGGCCUCCUCCUGAGUAAGCAUCUUGCAGGAACAUUGAGAAGCUAAAAAGACUGUCAACUUUACACAUCAAAGACUAAAAAUCCACCAUGCAACACAUAGAACAGACAGUCAUUCCUGUGCAGAGGACUCUUAGAACUUCUGCCCCCAAGGCCACAUGCUCCCCAACUCCUACCUAAAACCCUAAAUAAAAACCCUUGCUUGUACCUUUUUCAGGAGUUUGGGAUUAUAGUGUUAGCUGCCUCUUCUCCUUGCUCAGUGCUUUGCAAUAAAAUUCCUACUUUUUUCCACUACACCCAAUGUCAGAGAUUGGCUUACUACUGUGUAACUGGCGAGUGAACUAACUUCAGAUUUGAUAUCAGAUGACCCUUAUAUCAGGUGAACUACCCAGGUGAACCCAACCAACCCACAGACUCAUGAGCAGCGAUAAAUGGUUGUUGCUGAUUGAAGCCAGUGAGAAAGGCAGGUAGCAUAGGCCCUGAGCAAUUGGCCUAGUGGCUGUGUCUGGAUGCGUACAGGGGUGCUAAGGUGGGAGGCCCCAAGGCAGCAGCAGAAGAGACAGUGGGCACAGCCCCAGGAGAGAAGAGGGACUCCAUGUGGGACAGCACAGGAACCUGGGUGGGAGGCCAGCCUCCUGACCAUCUUUAGACCCUAAUAAUUACAGUAAUUAUUAACUCUCUGGCCUGAGCACUGGGACAGGUACUGCAGGCGGCCAGGUAGUAAAUAUUGUCAGUAAAUUAUUACUAAACAACAGCAUAUACAUCGACAUUGCAAUAAAGCGUAUCAGGAAGUUAUUAGAAUUCUUCAAAGCGUUCAGAAUCUCUGGUUUUGAAAAUUGCUGGGUCAUUGCAAAGCAAAUACCCACAGGUUUAUAAAUAGAAAUUAAAUUCAACAGAAAAACCCACUAUUUUUAUAUGAAGCUUAAAUUGCCAUUGUAUAAUUGCCCUUGCAUGACAUUUAAAAUUAAAUUCAGGCAGGAGACUCAUUUGUAUGAAGAGUUAAAUCUUUUUAGAAAAAGUGUUAAGUGAGACUCAUUAACUUUACAUGUACUCUAAUUUAUACUGCUAAAUAAUUAUCAGAAAUAUGUCCCAGUGUUGUCACAGUCUAUAAAAUACUCUUAACGGCUCCUGUAACCAUUACAUCAGCAGAAACAUUCUUCUCAAAAUUAAAAAUUAUCAAAAAUUGGCUGCAAUCUUGCAUUUGCCAAGGCAACUCCUUUUUUUUUUUUUAAAGAUUUUAUUUUUUCCUUUUUCUCCCCAAAG